GGUUAAGCGACUAAGCGUACACGGUGGAUGCCCUGGCAGUCAGAGGCGAUGAAGGACGUGCUAAUCUGCGAUAAGCGUCGGUAAGGUGAUAUGAACCGUUAUAACCGGCGAUGUCCGAAUGGGGAAACCCAGUGUGUUCCGACACACUAUCAUUAACUGAAUCCAUAGGUUAAUGAGGCGAACCGGGGGAACUGAAACAUCUAAGUACCCCGAGGAAAAGAAAUCAACCGAGAUUCCCCCAGUAGCGGCGAGCGAACGGGGAGGAGCCCAGAGCCUGAAUCAGUGUGUGUGUUAGUGGAAGCGUCUGGAAAGGCGCGCGAUACAGGGUGACAGCCCCGUACACAAAAAUGCACAUGCUGUGAGCUCGAUGAGUAGGGCGGGACACGUGGUAUCCUGUCUGAAUAUGGGGGGACCAUCCUCCAAGGCUAAAUACUCCUGACUGACCGAUAGUGAACCAGUACCGUGAGGGAAAGGCGAAAAGAACCCCGGCGAGGGGAGUGAAAAAGAACCUGAAACCGUGUACGUACAAGCAGUGGGAGCCCUGAUUUAUCAGGGUGACUGCGUACCUUUUGUAUAAUGGGUCAGCGACUUAUAUUCUGUAGCAAGGUUAACCGAAUAGGGGAGCCGGAGGGAAACCGAGUCUUAACUGGGCGUUAAGUUGCAGGGUAUAGACCCGAAACCCGGUGAUCUAGCCAUGGGCAGGUUGAAGGUUGGGUAACACUAACUGGAGGACCGAACCGACUAAUGUUGAAAAAUUAGCGGAUGACUUGUGGCUGGGGGUGAAAGGCCAAUCAAACCGGGAGAUAGCUGGUUCUCCCCGAAAGCUAUUUAGGUAGCGCCUCGUGAAUUCAUCUCCGGGGGUAGAGCACUGUUUCGGCAAGGGGGUCAUCCCGACUUACCAACCCGAUGCAAACUGCGAAUACCGGAGAAUGUUAUCACGGGAGACACACGGCGGGUGCUAACGUCCGUCGUGAAGAGGGAAACAACCCAGACCGCCAGCUAAGGUCCCAAAGUCAUGGUUAAGUGGGAAACGAUGUGGGAAGGCCCAGACAGCCAGGAUGUUGGCUUAGAAGCAGCCAUCAUUUAAAGAAAGCGUAAUAGCUCACUGGUCGAGUCGGCCUGCGCGGAAGAUGUAACGGGGCUAAACCAUGCACCGAAGCUGCGGCAGCGACACUGUGUGUUGUUGGGUA
rnacentral:rRNA from 1 species